AACCUCUGACAAGAAACCAUUGGAGUGGUAAGAAACUGAGACUCGGGCAGUAACGAAGGUGCAGUGAGAUUCGCUUGCUAUGACUACACUGUAUAGCCAUCUGUGGCGGACAGAUGAGUGAACUUUUGCCUUAAACAUUUCUUGGUACAUAAGGUGCAAGCAAACCAAAACCCCGAACAAGCCAUCUGUCCCCGGUGGAAACAGGACUAAGCUGCUGCGACCCCUGAAAUGGUCUUCCUGCGACCACCCAGGACACACCGAGCCUGUGCUGAACCAGACCACGAUCGGGCAGAGACUUUGGGACCUGGACUGUAAAUUAUUGCCGAUUAGCACAACUUCUAUAAAGCUUGCUUAGCAUGAGUAGCUAAAUUUGCUGAAGCCUUAGGCCUCACUCUCUAGUUCAGUGAGAAAGGGCCCCAGAGCUGGUGCAGACUGGAAUGAUAUGGGAGUUAGCAGCAGUUUGCAUUCCUGUGCACUGCUGAAACUGUUAAUUGCUGGAGUUGCCACCUCUUUGUCAGGACCUUGAGAGACAAUGGCGGGAUCCGAGGAAUGAAGACACACCUGUCAGCAGAAACGGCAACAGAAAACGGCCUACCUAGGAACAGCGAUGAGACCCAAUAAGGAGCAGAAGACCCCAGACCUAAAUAUUACUAUUGGUCCAAACUAAUGUGUGAAGGGUGGGAAACUUAAUUUGAAAAAGCUAUAAUUGCCCAGGGAUUUCUUUGUUCGGGGUCCCUCUUUGGAGGCACCCAACUGGAGCUGUAACUACUGCACGGGUGUCAUUGCCUUGAUUUGGCUCCGAACUUUUCAGCAGGAACCUAGGGUCAGGCGCUGCUCAAGUUGUAAUUACUGCACGUGCAUCGCUAAAAUUUACACCCAGGGUGAAGAGUACACCCACCACCAAACGGGACCCCCCCACCGCCGAGACUCCCAAAGGAAGAGGACCAAGGGGAUGCCGCUGGAUCCACGGAAUUUCAUAGCAUUCAAACCAUACGAAUAAGCACUGGAUGGACAUAUAACUCAUGUGGAGAAGGAGAAGACAUGCAAGACUUCAAGAGAAGGAAAUACUUGAUAGAAGAUAACUAAGAAAGAAAGAAGGAAUGAGACAAAGAAAGAAAAAGAG